rnacentral:rRNA from 1 species
GAUCCUGGCUCAGAUUGAACGCUGGCGGCAGGCCUAACACAUGCAAGUCGAACGGUAACAGGAAACAGCUUGCUGUUUCGCUGACGAGUGGCGGACGGGUGAGUAAUGUCUGGGAAACUGCCUGAUGGAGGGGGAUAACUACUGGAAACGGUAGCUAAUACCGCAUAACGUCGCAAGACCAAAGAGGGGGACCUUCGGGCCUCUUGCCAUCGGAUGUGCCCAGAUGGGAUUAGNUAGUAGGUGGGG